rnacentral:rRNA from 1 species
CCUACGGGAGGCUGCAGUGGGGGAUAUUGCACAAUGGGGGGAACCCUGAUGCAGCGACGCCGCGUGGGUGAAGGAGUGCUUCGGCAUGUAAAGCCCUAUCGGCAGGGAAGAAGCAAGACGGUACCUGACUAAGAAGCCCCGGCUAAAUACGUGCCAGCAGCCGCGGGAAUACGUAGGGGGCAAGCGUUAUCCGGAUUUACUGGGUGUAAAGGGGGCGCAGACGGCGAGGCAAGCCAGGAGUGAAAGCCCGGGGCCCAACCCCGGGACUGCACUUGGAACUGCGGGGCUGGAGUGCAGGAGGGGCAGGCGGAAUUCCUGGUGUAGCGGUGAAAUGCGUAGAUAUCAGGAGGAACACCAGUGGCGAAGGCGGCCUACUGGACUGCAACUGACGUUGAGGCCCGAAAGCGUGGGGAGCAAACAGGAUUAGAUACCCGAGUAGUC